rnacentral:rRNA from 1 species
ACUGCUCAGUAACACGUGGCUAAUCUGCCCUUAGGACGAGAACAACCCCGGGAAACUGGGGCUAACUCUUGAUAGGCGAAGAACUCUGGAAUGAGUCUUUACCUAAAAAGAUUCACGUUAUCCUCGUGAACCUGCCUAAGGAUGAGGCCGCGACCGAUCAGGUUGUUGGCGAGGUAAUGGCUCACCAAGCCUUUUACCGGUGCGGGCCGUGGGAGCGGGAGCCCGGAGAUGGGUACUGAGACAAGGACCCAGGCCCUACGGGGCGCAGCAGUCGCGAAACCUUUGCAAUACACGAAAGUGUGACAGGGCUAUCCCGAGUGCCAUCCGCUGAGGAAGGCUUUUACCCAGUCUAGAACGCUGGGGGAAUAAGGAGAGGGCAAGUCUGGUGUCAGCCGCCGCGGUAAUACCAGCUCUCCGAGUGGUGUGGAUGUUUAUUGGGCCUAAAGCAUCCGUAGCUGGCUAGGUAAGUCCCUUGUUAAAUCCACCGAAUUAAUCGUUGGAUCGCGGGGGAUACUGCUUGGCUAGGGGACGAGAGAGGCAGACGGUAUUCUCGGGGUAGGGGUGAAAUCCUAUAAUCCCGGGAAGACCACCAGUGGCGAAGGCUGUCUGCUAGAACGCGCCCGACGGUGAGGGAUGAAAGCUGGGGGAGCGAACCGGAUUAGAUACCCGGGUAGUCCCAGCUGUAAACGAUGCAGACUAGGUGUUUGAACGGCCACGUGCCGUUCUAGUGCCGCAGGGAAGCUGUUAAGUCUGCCGUCUGGGGAGUACGAUCGCAAGAUUGAAACUUAAAGGAAUUGGCGGGGGAGCAC